rnacentral:rRNA from 1 species
UACGAAGGGAGCUAGCGUUGUUCGGAAUCACUGGGCGUAAAGCGCACGUAGGCGGAUUUGUCAGUCAGGGGUGAAAUCCCGGGGCUCAACCUCGGAACUGCCUUUGAUACUGCAAAUCUCGAGUCCGGAAGAGGUGAGUGGAAUUCCUAGUGUAGAGGUGAAAUUCGUAGAUAUUAGGAAGAACACCAGUGGCGAAGGCGGCUCACUGGUCCGGUACUGACGCUGAGGUGCGAAAGCGUGGGGAGCAAACAGG